rnacentral:misc_RNA from 1 species
UAUAUUAAUGAUAUAUAUUCCUUUAUAUUAAUGUGUUACAUAGUCAUGUAGUCUAUUGAAAAAACUUGCACAUACACACAGGAAACAUACGAUCGCUCAAACAAAUAUGAUAAUAUAAACAUGAUAAACACGUAGUAUUGCGAAUUUGCAUAUCAUCAUAAACAGAUAAUCCCUACCAGAAGAAAAAUACUAUACAUCAAGAGAGGGGUACUGCAUAUUUCAACACGCGAAGAUACUGACGAGAGAGAGAAAGAAAUUACAUUAAGUCUUGCACACGCAAGGAAAGCCUACAAACUUUAUGUUGAACAUGUCUGCUUUGAAAUUCUUAACAUCGGAACAGAAGCAAUUUUGGGAAGAGAAUGGUUACGUUAAAUUGAUCAACGUGUACUCCUUAAAGGAAAUAAACGAAAUAUCGGAUGCUUAUAAUGAAUUGUUUGAGAGGAAACGUUGCGAAAAUCUCGCAGGUCUGGAGUCCGCUUGGGUCGGAGAAGACAUGAAGAAAGCAGCUGGAUAUAUCGAUUACACCGUGAAGUCCAUUCACAACCUGCAGAUGCAUAGCGCUAUCUUCACUCGCGCUAUCACGCAUCCGAAUCUGUUGGACGCCCUCGAAGAUAGCAUGGACACGUCGGACAUUCUGCUGCACCACACGAAAGCGCAUAUAAAGCCGCCGGAAAAAGGCGCGCCUUACCUGAUGCAUCAGGAUUAUCAUUAUUUUCCUCAUAAAAAACACACAAUGUUGGCGAUAUUCCUACACUUGGACGACACUACGCCAGAGAAUGGAGGUUUAGCGGUGUAUCCGGGUAGUCACAAGCUCGGCCCAUUGACAGACUACGGUUUGACUGACGAGAAAGGUGACCAAUAUCAUUAUGUCAAUCCUGAGGAGUAUCCCUUGUCGAAAGCCAUGCCGGUGUCGGCUAAAAGAGGAGAGAUUAUCAUCUUCUCUUACCUGCUUCUUCACGGCUCGUACUUGAACCUGUCGUCCAGAAGCCGGCGUAUGUUCCUGCUACAAGUACGAGCCGCCGAUGACGAGCCCACUGAGGACGUGCAUAAAUCUCCUUGUCAAGGCCUGGUACUUCGUGGUAGAAACGUUCACAGAGAGGCAACGAUGGCCAGCCGAUUUACGCAUUAAUUCAAUCAUUCAUCAUAUGGUAAACCGACAAACUAAGCACAAAUAUUUGCUUUGUCUACAAUAAUCUAAUUGUAAUAAAAACGCGGAAGAGACCGAGGACACAAAUGCAAGUUUUUUCUCCUAUGGACGAAAUCGAAACGGAUUAGCGCGAUGAGUUUUUGUUUGAUAUUUGUGCUAUGGAGAAAGAAUCUAGCUUCUGGCUUGAGUUUCAGGUUUCAGGUUGUUCUUCCCCGAAGAAGUAAACUUGAAAUGUUGACGGAAAUCGAUUCAUGAACGAUGCGGUCGAACCAAUCUAGGAGCCAGGUCGAGGACAUCUUGUCCUGUGCGUACUAUCUUUCUUUUUCUUUUGCAGCUUUAUUUUGAUCUUGCGUCUGAGCCGUUGUGUCUUUCGAUAUUUCGAAAAUACGGACUCUCAAAAGCCUAAAGUCGUUGACUGUUGUGAAACGCACGAAUAGUACCACGAAUCCUGCUGACCAGCUCUAUAUCAUUAACCGAGACAUAAUCUUGAAACAGAACAAGAAAGGUAGCGUUAAUAAGCGCAUGGAUUCGACGAACUGUCUCGCCGCUCACACAUUCCUACUUCCAACGCACGAAAGAUUUUGCACACAUCGUGUUCAUCAUGCACGUUGUGGAGACUGUAAAGACUCACAUAAUUCUGUAGGAUGACGCAUUCUCUUCGGAAGAACGAACGUAAUUAGAACUCCAUAGGGUGCGCUUUAUGAAACGAAAAAAACAUGCCUGCUUUGGAGCACGUCUUUUUGAUAUCUUCAUGAAGAGCAAUAUCAAGUCUGCUCUGGUAUAUCCCUUUCCCAUAUUAUCCGUCGCGUACAAUGUUACUAUCGUCAAGCAAAAGUUGAAGAGCAGCGAAGAGUUGUGCUCGACCACAACUCUCCAUGGAGUUGUGAAACUGUAAAUACCGAUCACUAUGGAUUUCUUUGUAACUUUGCCUUUUCAAUACUGUAUGGAAAGUGUUCUUUCAUGGAUAAGCAAAUGCGAUGUCACGUAUUGUUGUUACUUGCGUUUCCUGGCAUCAUAGUCACCCCUACCACACAUGCAGAACAGCGUCAUCUACACGGUGCCGAAUAUGCAGGACAGGAAACAUACAGUGAAGUAAAAUUCACAAUGACUCCUGUAAAUAUAAUUAACGAUGUUUACAUAUUGUCUCUAGUCGGUGUAAUUUGACUUCAGCUCCACGGCAUGUUCGUGACGAGCAGACGCUCGUCUACAUUGCUUGUAGAUCCGGGCAGUAAAUCCAACUUUGUCCAGAGAGGAUAGUUAUCGCCGAAAAUAUCAUGCUGAACCAACGAAAAUUGUCCAUAAAAGAAAGAGCCAUUAUCUGUUUCUUCAGUUUCAAGCAGUAGAAAUAUCAGCAAGCGUUCCGAAAUCCGAUAAUUCGUCGAGCACAAUUUCGUUACUUAUUCGUUAAAAGGUCAAUUAAUCUAAUUGACAAAUAUAACGAGCGAUAAAAUAUAACGAACAAUAUUGUAAAUAAGUAUAUACCAUAAAAUUCUCCAAGAAAAAGCGAAAUCUCGAUUCAUGAUUGACAGAUGUUGCAUUCAUCAUAUCUACGUCAUUUUUAAAUUAAAUAAUCUUUUCCUGAUUUAAAUAAAUUCAUUUCUAAACCAGGAUUAAUUGGUCCGGUUCGUGUAGUGUGUGUAAUUUUGACGUUAAUAAAUCGCGAGUUCUGCAACUAAAAAUUGAAAAAACGGGCUAUAGUCAUGUUUCUUCCUGGAUGUGUGAGUGUUGCAGGAAAAAUACCCAUAAUAUAUAGAACAAGAUAGCGUAACUGUAUCCUGACAGAAGGCUGAAGGAAAUAGGCAAGGAUCUAGGCAGGGCUUUCCACAGAAAUGAUAUUUCCGCAAAGUCUCGCUCGAUCAGUUUGGAAUAUUCCUCCAAGAGUCGCAUUUUGGACUCUUGUUCGCACGACACGACGUUUGCGGAGAGAGACAGCAAAAAAGAGGAGCGUCACAACAGUGCAAGUGCAACAUAUUGUACGCGCGACAGUUACUUUGUUGAGUGGAAAGUUCUAACAUUGAUGUAACGUUAUUGUUCGUCGGUGUUGAACCGUGCGUAACCCCACAUUUCUCUCUCGCACUUCCUGCUAAAACGUCGCGUAAUUUUUCGUAAGAGCGCGCGGCUUUCGCUCGCGCAAAGAAGCGGGAAUUUGGAUUGAGUCCGCUCAUUUCCACCGUACCUUCUGCACUCCGUCACCUCCCUGUCUCGCUCCCGAAUACGGAUCCCCCGAGUGCGGAUCUACGUUGCUCCAAGAGUAGCGGCGAGUGCAGCUAGUUUGCGAAGAACGGCAGGAACGAGUCGCGAAUUUGACACAGGGCCAGGCAUAAAACUGCAGAAAGCAGCGCGAGAGACUCCGCAAGCGGCCUCGCGGAAGGAAAACGGAGGAAGCCGCGGAUUCGUCGCGAACUAUCGUCUCGCGAGAGGAGACACGCGAAAGUCCGUCAUAGUCCCGAUACGUUCCGAGAUACGUGCAAUGAAAUUCCGAUAUAAUCGGUUCGCCGUAAUAGCCCACGGCGGGCGAGCCGAGAGCAAGCGGUGAAACCGGUAUAAUUUCGGCAGAGCUCAGUUUCCGAGGCUAUUGGCACGCGAAAACGGACCUUAACACGAGCGAGCGCGCGCGCGCGCCCGCCCGCCCGCCGCGUUUCGCGUACGCGGGGGAUCGUUAUCGCGCGGGCGCGGUUAUCGCGAUCCGAAAUC